AUACGGAGGGUGCAAGCGUUAAUCGGAAUUACUGGGCGUAAAGCGCGCGUAGGCGGUUUGAUAAGUCGGAUGUGAAAUCCCCGGGCUCAACCUGGGAAUUGCAUUCGAUACUGUCAGGCUAGAGUGUGGUAGAGGGAAGUGGAAUUUCCGGUGUAGCGGUGAAAUGCGUAGAUAUCGGAAGGAACACCAGUGGCGAAGGCGGCUUCCUGGACCAACACUGACGCUGAGGUGCGAAAGCGUGGGGAGCAAACAGGAUUAGAAACCCCUGUAGUCC
rnacentral:rRNA from 1 species